rnacentral:rRNA from 1 species
UUAAGCGACUAAGCGUACACGGUGGAUGCCCUGGCAGUCAGAGGCGAUGAAGGACGUGCUAAUCUGCGAUAAGCGUCGGUAAGGUGAUAUGAACCGUUAUAACCGGCGAUUUCCGAAUGGGGAAACCCAGUGUGUUUCGACACACUAUCAUUAACUGAAUCCAUAGGUUAAUGAGGCGAACCGGGGGAACUGAAACAUCUAAGUACCCCGAGGAAAAGAAAUCAACCGAGAUUCCCCCAGUAGCGGCGAGCGAACGGGGAGCAGCCCAGAGCCUGAAUCAGUGUGUGUGUUAGUGGAAGCGUCUGGAAAGGCGCGCGAUACAGGGUGACAGCCCCGUACACAAAAAUGCACAUGCUGUGAGCUCGAUGAGUAGGGCGGGACACGUGGUAUCCUGUCUGAAUAUGGGGGGACCAUCCUCCAAGGCUAAAUACUCCUGACUGACCGAUAGUGAACCAGUACCGUGAGGGAAAGGCGAAAAGAACCCCGGCGAGGGGAGUGAAAAAGAACCUGAAACCGUGUACGUACAAGCAGUGGGAGCACGCUUAGGCGUGUGACUGCGUACCUUUUGUAUAAUGGGUCAGCGACUUAUAUUCUGUAGCAAGGUUAACCGAAUAGGGGAGCCGAAGGGAAACCGAGUCUUAACUGGGCGUUAAGUUGCAGGGUAUAGACCCGAAACCCGGUGAUCUAGCCAUGGGCAGGUUGAAGGUUGGGUAACACUAACUGGAGGACCGAACCGACUAAUGUUGAAAAAUUAGCGGAUGACUUGUGGCUGGGGGUGAAAGGCCAAUCAAACCGGGAGAUAGCUGGUUCUCCCCGAAAGCUAUUUAGGUAGCGCCUCGUGAAUUCAUCUCCGGGGGUAGAGCACUGUUUCGGCAAGGGGGUCAUCCCGACUUACCAACCCGAUGCAAACUGCGAAUACCGGAGAAUGUUAUCACGGGAGACACACGGCGGGUGCUAACGUCCGUCGUGAAGAGGGAAACAACCCAGACCGCCAGCUAAGGUCCCAAAGUCAUGGUUAAGUGGGAAACGAUGUGGGAAGGCCCAGACAGCCAGGAUGUUGGCUUAGAAGCAGCCAUCAUUUAAAGAAAGCGUAAUAGCUCACUGGUCGAGUCGGCCUGCGCGGAAGAUGUAACGGGGCUAAACCAUGCACCGAAGCUGCGGCAGCGACGCUUAUGCGUUGUUGGGUAGGGGAGCGUUCUGUAAGCCUGUGAAGGUGUGCUGUGAGGCAUGCUGGAGGUAUCAGAAGUGCGAAUGCUGACAUAAGUAACGAUAAAGCGGGUGAAAAGCCCGCUCGCCGGAAGACCAAGGGUUCCUGUCCAACGUUAAUCGGGGCAGGGUGAGUCGACCCCUAAGGCGAGGCCGAAAGGCGUAGUCGAUGGGAAACAGGUUAAUAUUCCUGUACUUGGUGUUACUGCGAAGGGGGGACGGAGAAGGCUAUGUUGGCCGGGCGACGGUUGUCCCGGUUUAAGCGUGUAGGCUGGUUUUCCAGGCAAAUCCGGAAAAUCAAGGCUGAGGCGUGAUGACGAGGCACUACGGUGCUGAAGCAACAAAUGCCCUGCUUCCAGGAAAAGCCUCUAAGCAUCAGGUAACAUCAAAUCGUACCCCAAACCGACACAGGUGGUCAGGUAGAGAAUACCAAGGCGCUUGAGAGAACUCGGGUGAAGGAACUAGGCAAAAUGGUGCCGUAACUUCGGGAGAAGGCACGCUGAUAUGUAGGUGAAGUCCCUCGCGGAUGGAGCUGAAAUCAGUCGAAGAUACCAGCUGGCUGCAACUGUUUAUUAAAAACACAGCACUGUGCAAACACGAAAGUGGACGUAUACGGUGUGACGCCUGCCCGGUGCCGGAAGGUUAAUUGAUGGGGUUAGCCGCAAGGCGAAGCUCUUGAUCGAAGCCCCGGUAAACGGCGGCCGUAACUAUAACGGUCCUAAGGUAGCGAAAUUCCUUGUCGGGUAAGUUCCGACCUGCACGAAUGGCGUAAUGAUGGCCAGGCUGUCUCCACCCGAGACUCAGUGAAAUUGAACUCGCUGUGAAGAUGCAGUGUACCCGCGGCAAGACGGAAAGACCCCGUGAACCUUUACUAUAGCUUGACACUGAACAUUGAGCCUUGAUGUGUAGGAUAGGUGGGAGGCUUAGAAGUGUGGACGCCAGUCUGCAUGGAGCCGACCUUGAAAUACCACCCUUUAAUGUUUGAUGUUCUAACGUUGACCCGUAAUCCGGGUUGCGGACAGUGUCUGGUGGGUAGUUUGACUGGGGCGGUCUCCUCCUAAAGAGUAACGGAGGAGCACGAAGGUUGGCUAAUCCUGGUCGGACAUCAGGAGGUUAGUGCAAUGGCAUAAGCCAGCUUGACUGCGAGCGUGACGGCGCGAGCAGGUGCGAAAGCAGGUCAUAGUGAUCCGGUGGUUCUGAAUGGAAGGGCCAUCGCUCAACGGAUAAAAGGUACUCCGGGGAUAACAGGCUGAUACCGCCCAAGAGUUCAUAUCGACGGCGGUGUUUGGCACCUCGAUGUCGGCUCAUCACAUCCUGGGGCUGAAGUAGGUCCCAAGGGUAUGGCUGUUCGCCAUUUAAAGUGGUACGCGAGCUGGGUUUAGAACGUCGUGAGACAGUUCGGUCCCUAUCUGCCGUGGGCGCUGGAGAACUGAGGGGGGCUGCUCCUAGUACGAGAGGACCGGAGUGGACGCAUCACUGGUGUUCGGGUUGUCAUGCCAAUGGCACUGCCCGGUAGCUAAAUGCGGAAGAGAUAAGUGCUGAAAGCAUCUAAGCACGAAACUUGCCCCGAGAUGAGUUCUCCCUGAC